AGAAAAAGAGAGAGAAAAGAAAGAAAGGAAAAUAAAGAAAGAAGAAGAAAGAGGAAGGAAAGAAGGGGGAUUUUUGUGCACGCACACCACAAGGAUCUUGCCAAGCUGAGUCGACUACGUAUCACAAAGCCUAGUCCUUUAGUUAGUGGCCGUUAGAGUGAGAGCAAUGAUGAAGAAGAAGAGCAUUGAGAGAAAGUGGGUGGCGAUAGCAGUAGUGGCAUAUCUACUCAUCAUGGUGGAUCAACUGCCUUCACCAACGAGUGCCUCUUUGCUUCCUGCUCAACAUGUUCCUAAUGCCCCUGGUGGACACGAAGAGAGCAAAAUGGGAUCCACAAGAAAAGCAUUAGGUGGUGGGUUCAAACUCAAGGAAGUUAUUGGUCUUGAUUCCUACAUUGAUUUCAGGCUGAACAAGAAGAGGAAAGCAGUAGAGUCGCGUAGCCUGAAGGAAAGUCCCAAGAUGUCUCCGC